GAUGAAGAACGCAGCGAAAUGCGAUAAGUAAUGUGAAUUGCAGAAUUCAGUGAAUCAUCGAAUCUUUGAACGCACCUUGCGCUCCUUGGUAUUCCGAGGAGCAUGCCUGUUUGAGUGUCAUUAAAUUCUCAACCUUUCCUUCUUUUACUAGUCAGGUUAGGCUUGGAUAUGGGGGCUGCAGGCUUCUUAAGAAGUCAGCUCUCCUUAAAUACAUUAGCAGAACUUAUGUGGAACAGCUAAUUGGUAUGAUAAUUAUUUAUGCCACUAGUUGUGAAGCUUUUACAUAGAGCUCAGCUUCUAAUAGUCUUCUUUAGACAAUUUCUGAUACUUUGACCUCAAAUCAGGUAGGAUUACCCGCUGAACUUAAGCAUAUCAAUAAGCGGAGGA
rnacentral:misc_RNA from 1 species